GUUAAAUUCAAGUCAAAAUCUAAGUUAGUCCUUUCUGAAUGUACUGAUGUACAUUCAGAAAGGACUAACUUAGAUUUUGACUUGAAUUUAACUGCAAU